GAGUUUGAUCCUGGCUCAGGAUGAACGCUGGCGGCGUGCCUAAUACAUGCAAGUCGAGCGAACGGACGAGAAGCUUGCUUCUCUGAUGUUAGCGGCGGACGGGUGAGUAACACGUGGGUAACCUACCUAUAAGACUGGGAUAACUCCGGGAAACCGGGGCUAAUACCGGAUAACACAUGAAACCGCAUGGUUUCAUGAUGAAAGACGGUCUUGCUGUCACUUAUAGAUGGAUCCGCGCUGCAUUAGCUAGUUGGUAAGGUAACGGCUUACCAAGGCAACGAUGCAUAGCCGACCUGAGAGGGUGAUCGGCCACACUGGAACUGAGACACGGUCCAGACUCCUACGGGAGGCAGCAGUAGGGAAUCUUCCGCAAUGGGCGAAAGCCUGACGGAGCAACGCCGCGUGAGUGAUGAAGGUCUUCGGAUCGUAAAACUCUGUUAUUAGGGAAGAACAUAUGUGUAAGUAACUGUGCACAUCUUGACGGUACCUAAUCAGAAAGCCACGGCUAACUACG
rnacentral:rRNA from 1 species